rfam:Schistosoma mansoni, Puerto Rico, WGS project CABG01000000 data, contig: 0376
AGCCUUUUGAAUCCGUGAUGAGAUUUCGACAGAUACCAACCCAUCAGGGCUGAUCAGACUUCCAAAAUACGUGAAGUU